rnacentral:lncRNA from 1 species
CCUGGUCUCAGCAGGAAUAAAGAAGGAGUGGGCAGGAGUGGAGAUGUGGAAAGGGAGAGAGAGUGUCCAAAAAAAUGCUAGGGAAUCUAAAGCAAAUCUCAAUUUGUGGUUUUGCUGAGGCCCACACCUGCACAGUAUAAAGAUUGCUCUACAAGCUGCAUCAGCCACUGGUUUCUGAUUUGGGGGGGGCGGGGGUUGCGAGUCUCCCUCUGAGCCCAGCCAGGCAGUGGAGGAAAUGAAGAGGCUCUUAAGGGAGGGGCAAGGGAGAGAGGAUGGGGCAGGGCGGGGAGCAGCCACUGUGAGAGCAGCUGCCUCUUCAAGAGGGAAGGCUCUUCCCGCUGUUGACGCUGUUCCUCCAGAAGUCAGGCUUCCGUGGUAGAAUGAGAAAGGUGGAGAAGAGGGAUUUCAGUUCCCUGGGGCGCUGUGUCUGUUAGCUGCCGGUAAAUACCUCUGAGAGACUCUGUUUCCAGCUAAAGGAGACCACCUGUCCUACAACUCUCAGGAUCAGGCACAGGAACUGUCUGGGUGGACCCUCUGGCAAAAUGAAUUGGACCAACUCUAAGUUCCAGAACUCCAGAGCCAGUAGCAAUGCUUUCCUGGAUGACCCCACACCACUGCCCUGCUCUGAGAAUUUCACUACCCUGAAGCCAGAGACUAAACCUGAUGAACUCAGCAGCUUAGGCACAGCAGCUACAGCCAUUUCUGGCUCUGUUGGUGUUGUGGCUCUCAUCUUGCUCCUGGUGGGUCUCUUGUCCAUGACCCUGAAGAAAUGGAGACAUGAGAGACUAUUUAAGAAACAAUUGAGGCACCAGACCAACUUUCUCCAUAGAACUUCGGAGCUUUCCUGCCAUGCUGAUGCCAUAUAUUCGAAUGUGAUCAACCUGGCUUCCUGGAAAGAGGAUGACUUCGCUGUCUAUGCCAACGUGCCCCCUUUCAAUCGCCCUAGGAAGACAUCACCAGACCAAGUGGAAUAUGCCUCCAUUGUAUUCCACUGAUGGGAAGCCAAUGAGAUGCUUCAGAUGGAAAGUCAGACCUAUGCCCCAGCUGGAUCCUGAGCUGGCUUGUGCUUUAGAUGGGUGGUGUGGGUGUGUGGGUGUGUCUAUUUAGAAAAAUGCAUAAAACAUAUCCUAAUGGUGGUAAAUGGCUGGGUAUUUCUUCUGAUUUAUUGGAAACAAAGUACAGUUCUAAUGGAAAGGAGUGGCAUAGGAGAGACAAGGACACGCUGAUCCAAGCCAUCCCAGCCCCAGAAGCAGGUUCCUGAGACAGACUGGCCAAC